UGGGGAAUUUUGGACAAUGGGCGCAAGCCUGAUCCAGCAAUGCCGCGUGCAGGAUGAAGGCCUUCGGGUUGUAAACUGCUUUUGUACGGAGCGAAAAGGUCUGCCCUAAUACGGUGGGCUCAUGACGGUACCGUAAGAAUAAGCACCGGCUAACUACGUGCCAGCAGCCGCGGUAAUACGUAGGGUGCGAGCGUUAAUCGGAAUUACUGGGCGUAAAACGUGCGCAGGCGGUUAUGCAAGACAGAGGUGAAAUCCCCGGGCUCAACCUGGGAACUGCAUUUGUGACUGUAUAGCUAGAGUACGGUAGAGGGGGAUGGAAUUCCGCGUGUAGCAGUGAAAUGCGUAGAUAUGCGGAGGAACACCGAUGGCGAAGGCAAUCCCCUGGACCUGUACUGACGCUCAUGCACGAAAGCGUGGGGAGCAAACA
rnacentral:rRNA from 1 species